UACGGGGGGGGCAAGCGUUGUUCGGAAUUACUGGGCGUAAAGGGCUCGUAGGUGGCCUGCUAAGUCAGACGUGAAAUCCCUCGGCUUAACCGAGGAACUGCGUCUGAUACUGGGAGGCUUGAAUCCGGGAGAGGGACGUGGAAUUCCAGGUGUAGCGGUGAAAUGCGUAGAUAUCUGGAGGAACACCGGUGGCGAAGGCGGCGUCCUGGACCGGUAUUGACACUGAGGAGCGAAAGCCAGGGGAGCAAACGGGAUUAGAUACCCCGGUAGUCCUGGCCCUAAACGAUGAGUGCUUGGUGUGGCGGGUAUCGAUCCCUGCCGUGCCGAAGCUAACGCGUUAAGCACUCCGCCUGGGGAGUACGGUCGCAAGGCUG
rnacentral:rRNA from 1 species